GGUUAAGCGACUAAGCGUACACGGUGGAUGCCCUGGCAGUCAGAGGCGAUGAAGGACGUGCUAAUCUGCGAUAAGCGUCGGUGAGGUGAUAUGAACCGUUAUAACCGGCGAUUUCCGAAUGGGGAAACCCAGUGUGUUUCGACACACUAUCAUUAACUGAAUCCAUAGGUUAAUGAGGCGAACCGGGGGAACUGAAACAUCUAAGUACCCCGAGGAAAAGAAAUCAACCGAGAUUCCCCCAGUAGCGGCGAGCGAACGGGGAGGAGCCCAGAGCCUGAAUCAGUGUGUGUGUUAGUGGAAGCGUCUGGAAAGGCGUGCGAUACAGGGUGACAGCCCCGUACACAAAAAUGCACAUAUUGUGAGCUCGAUGAGUAGGGCGGGACACGUGGUAUCCUGUCUGAAUAUGGGGGGACCAUCCUCCAAGGCUAAAUACUCCUGACUGACCGAUAGUGAACCAGUACCGUGAGGGAAAGGCGAAAAGAACCCCGGCGAGGGGAGUGAAAAAGAACCUGAAACCGUGUACGUACAAGCAGUGGGAGCCUCUUAAUGGGGUGACUGCGUACCUUUUGUAUAAUGGGUCAGCGACUUAUAUUCUGUAGCAAGGUUAACCGAAUAGGGGAGCCGAAGGGAAACCGAGUCUUAACUGGGCGUUAAGUUGCAGGGUAUAGACCCGAAACCCGGUGAUCUAGCCAUGGGCAGGUUGAAGGUUGGGUAACACUAACUGGAGGACCGAACCGACUAAUGUUGAAAAAUUAGCGGAUGACUUGUGGCUGGGGGUGAAAGGCCAAUCAAACCGGGAGAUAGCUGGUUCUCCCCGAAAGCUAUUUAGGUAGCGCCUCGUGAAUUCAUCUCCGGGGGUAGAGCACUGUUUCGGCAAGGGGGUCAUCCCGACUUACCAACCCGAUGCAAACUGCGAAUACCGGAGAAUGUUAUCACGGGAGACACACGGCGGGUGCUAACGUCCGUCGUGAAGAGGGAAACAACCCAGACCGCCAGCUAAGGUCCCAAAGUCAUGGUUAAGUGGGAAACGAUGUGGGAAGGCCCAGACAGCCAGGAUGUUGGCUUAGAAGCAGCCAUCAUUUAAAGAAAGCGUAAUAGCUCACUGGUCGAGUCGGCCUGCGCGGAAGAUGUAACGGGGCUAAACCAUGCACCGAAGCUGCGGCAGCGACACUAUGUGUUGU
rnacentral:rRNA from 1 species